GCUGGCGGCGUGCCUAUACAUGCAGUCGAACGGGGUCCAACUGGUGGCAACACCAGUGAAGACCUAGUGGCGAACGGGUGCGUAACACGUGAGCAACCUGCCCCGAAGACUGGGAUAACAGCGGGAAACCGCUGCUAAUACCGGAUACCCCCGCGGCCCCACAUGGGGCUGCGAGGAAAGGAUUCUGCUUCGGGAGGGGCUCGCGGCCUAUCAGCUUGUUGGUGAGGUAACGGCUCACCAAGGCGACGACGGGUAGCUGGUCUGAGAGGACGAUCAGCCACACUGGGACUGAGACACGGCCCAGACUCCUACGGGAGGCAGCAGUAGGGAAUCUUGCGCAAUGGGCGAAAGCCUGACGCAGCAACGCCGCGUGGGGGAUGAAGGCCUUCGGGUUGUAAACUCCUUUCAGUGGGAACGAAAUUGACGGUACCCACAGAAGAAGCCCCGGCCAACUACGUGCCAGCAGCCGCGGUGAUACGUAGGGGGCGAGCGUUGUCCGGAUUCAUUGGGCGUAAAGAGCUCGUAGGCGGUUUGGUAAGUCGGGUGUGAAACCUCCAGGCUCAACCUGGAGACGCCACUUGAUACUGCCAUGACUCGAGUCCGGUAGGGGACCAUGGAAUUCCUGGUGUAGCGGUGAAAUGCGCAGAUAUCAGGAGGAACACCAGUAGCGAAGGCGGUGGUCUGGGCCGGUACUGACGCUGAAGAGCGAAAGCGUGGGGAGCGAACAGGAUUAGAUACCCUGGUAGUCCACACCGUAAACGUUGGGCACUAGGUGUGGGGACCUAUCGACGGUUUCCGUGCCGCAGCUAACGCAUUAAGUGCCCCGCCUGGGGAGUACGGCCGCAAGGCUAAACUCAAAGGAAUUGACGGGGGCCC
rnacentral:rRNA from 1 species